UAAAAAUAAAUGAUGUUUUUGGAAAAUGUAAAUUGUAGAAAGUUUUCUGUGAUGGGUAGGUUUAAUGUAGAGGGAUAGGUUAUGCAGUUUGUACAGUAUAAAAACCAUUAUGUCUCUGCAUGGUCCCCAUAAAACAUGAAAACACAGCAUGUAUGUGUGUCUGUACUGUAGAGCAGAAACACAGAUGUGCACUAUUACAGCUCUUACAGUCAGUUAUGCUGUACAUGUACUGUAAGUAAAGUGUCUGAUUGAGAAAUGUGUACAACAUAGUUAAAAUUAGUGAACUAUGGUCUUGGAACAUAUAUUUAGUAGAGUGACAUUUUGAGCUGCUGUAUGUUAAAAUCUUUGCCAUGGUUUCAAGCAGAACAUAUUCCACUGUCCAUGUUUUGUUGAACUUGUAACAAUAUCCCAAGGACAAGUUAGUCCUAAUGCUACCCUAAACCUAACCCAACCCAUUAUCCUUAAAGUAAAUGAUAACCGGCACAAAACCCUGGUUGUAUGCAUAAACUUGACAUAAACUGUAAACUUGUCACUCAAAUAUGAUUGGUUGAAUGAAAUGCAGGAUUAACAAUGUAAGCAGGCAGUGUCAUUUUAUAAACUGCUUCAAGUGACCCUGAUAUUGUAAUAAGUACAUAAAUGAAUGAAUGAAUAAACUAAUAAAUAAAACAUUACAAAACAAAAAUUAAUAAAAAUAUUUAUUUUGUCUUACAUUUUAACUGAAUAUUGACAUUUAGAUUUAUAAAUGACUUUUUUAUUAGUAAAAAUAGCCUGUCAUAUUAUUAAUUGAUAAAUUAAAUUAUGAAUGGGUAAAUCAGCACAGCAUAAAACUGCAAUGAGAACAUUGUUUUUUGAUAUUAUUUGAUUUGAUAUUAGGCUAUUAACUUUUCAAACAUUUUGUAUUUUUAUUUUAUUAUUAUUAUUAUCAUGUUAUAGGCUUCAGCUAACUUUAUUAGAGAUCAUUAUUUAAUAGAAUUCAAACUGGUUCGAAUUCCUAUUUCCGGCCCUUUAAAUUUAAAAGUAGGCGCGCGGAAAAGGCGCCUAAACAGCAGAGAGGAUCGGCUGGAGAAUUGACGGUUGAAAACUGCACAAAGUAAAGUCAAGAUCCUCCUGCUGUAAAAACCAGCAUUGACCAGCAUGAAUUCCCUUUCACUCACUGUUUCCCAACCUGCAGUCGGUUCAGCACGAAACAUCAGGCUCACAGCAACAGAUUAAGAAGAAUCCUGCAUCAAAAGAUGACUUCAACUU